rnacentral:tRNA from 1 species
GCGGGCAUAGUUUAGUGGCAGAACGACUGCUUCCCAAGCAGUAAGCGCGAGUUCGAUUC